ensembl:snRNA U6 U6 spliceosomal RNA
GUGACCGCUUUGGCAGCACAUACACUGAUAUUGGAACAAUACGGAGAAGAUUAGCAUGACCCCUGAGCAAGGAUGACAUACAAAUUUGUGAAGUGUUCCAUUUUUUA